GCUUCCACUGAGAAGAUAGUGGCGAACGGGUGAGUAAUACAUCGGAACGUACCGUGUAGUGGGGAUAACGUAGCGAAAGUUACGCUAAUACCGCAUACGAUCCACGGAUGAAAGCAGGGGGACCUUCGGGCCUUGUGCUAUACGAGCGGCCGAUGUCUGAUUAGCUAGUUGGUGAGGUAAAGGCUCACCAAGGCGACGAUCAGUAGCGGGUCUGAGAGGAUGAUCCGCCACACUGGGACUGAGACACGGCCCAGACUCCUACGGGAGGCAGCAGUGGGGAAUUUUGGACAAUGGGCGCAAGCCUGAUCCAGCCAUGCCGCGUGUCUGAAGAAGGCCUUCGGGUUGUAAAGGACUUUUGUCAGGGAGCAAAACUUACUGGUUAAUACCUGGUGAGGUUGAGAGUACCUGAAGAAUAAGCACCGGCUAACUACGUGCCAGCAGCCGCGGUAAUACGUAGGGUGCAAGCGUUAAUCGGAAUUACUGGGCGUAAAGCGU
rnacentral:rRNA from 1 species